UAUCUGGAAGGAGACUCAGCCGGGCUUCUGAAUAUAAACAGGAAUUAGUCAGGUAGGAGAAGAACAAAUAAGCACAAUGAUUGAGAGACCUUCCCCAAAGGCAGAUCCCGAUCAGCCAACAUCUAACAACCAGAGAAGGCAGCCGCUGAAUUCACUCCCUCCACCCAGCUAGAGAUUCUGGAUGAAGGAUGAGCCCCUCCUCAGCUGAGAUGUCUGGAUUAUAGUUUCCUCUCCCUCCUAUGGCCAGUCUGCCUUCGACUUUCCAGGGGGAGCUCCAUCUCACCAGGAAUGCACAUCCCCGGGUAGUUUAUGAUUGGAGCCUUCUCACCGUUCAGGUCGCAGCUCAAAUAUCAUCUCCCUAGGAGGGAAGCCCCCCCAGUCUGAAGUAGCCGUCCACCCUCAACCCCUCUCUCUCCUCCCCCUGCCAUCUCUCCCUCAUAGGGCAUUCGUCACUCUCUAUAAUCACCUUGCUCAUUUAUUUCUUCAUGUCUUUGUCCCCCUACCAGAAUUGAAGCCCCAGGAGAGUUCAGAUCUCUUCUGUCAAGCUUUGCAUUGUGUCAUCAGAUUUUAGGCCCCUGACCAAUACUAGGACUUCAAUAAAUGUUAGAUAAAUGACUAAAAUCCCUGAUCUUUUCAACAAAUAUUCCUUCACGGUGUCUUAGGGGCCAGGAAUUGUGUCUAUAAAGGGGAAUUUCGUCCACUGAUGAAAAAUGUCUUCCUGCUUUUCCACCACUUCCUGCCUCCACUCUCCUUCCAUCCCGACAAACAGACACACACGGGCAGCCUCUGCCUUCGUGCCUCGUGGCCCAAAGGAAAGACACCCAAAGAUAGAGUGACCCUGUCCCCAUAGACAACUGCCAUCGGAGCCGGCCCUGGCAGCUGGCCAGACAACGCAGGCUGAAUGUUUCCUGGGCGCAGCUUCAUAAAUAUGCAGCUGCACUAAAAGCCACGGUCCAGUGAGUAAUGAGAGAAAGAGGCCCAGGUGUCCCUGGAGGAGUGGGCUCUUAUUUACAAGAGCACACAGAGGCUGGCUG